GAAGAGGGUGUGUCGUCGGCUGGCUCGCCAUAUCUGCUCUGAGAUGUGAGAGGAGAGGAGGAGACGAGAAAGGAGAGGAGGGGAGGAGGAUUCCAGUCCAGAACUGAAAACCAGACCAGGCUGCUCUCUCACAUGGCCCUGACACGUUAGACAUCUGAUUGGUCAAUCGGCUGCCCACGUGCCGCCAUUACAACUGCAGACACCAUAGGGACCAACAACCUGCCCAAGGGACUCAAGAUGGAUAUUGGCCACUGCCUAUAAUCUUACAUGCAUUUGCUUUUUUUUUUUUUUUAAAUGUUAUACGGUAUUAAUAUGUCC